GACGAACCGAGCGAACGUUGUUCGGAAUCACUGGGCUUAAAGGGCGCGUAGGCGGGUGCUCAAGUCCGGGGUGAAAUCCUCCAGCUCAACUGGAGAACUGCCUCGGAUACUGGGUGCCUCGAGGGUGGUAGGGGUAUGCGGAACUAUCGGUGGAGCGGUGAAAUGCGUUGAUAUCGAUAGGAACUCCGGUGGCGAAGGCGGCAUACUGGACCACAUCUGACGCUGAGGCGCGAAAGCCAGGGGAGCAAACAGG
rnacentral:rRNA from 1 species